UACGAAGGGAGCUAGCGUUGUUCGGAAUCACUGGGCGUAAAGCGCACGUAGGCGGAUGUGUCAGUCAGGGGUGAAAUCCCGAAGCUCAACUUCGGAACUGCCUUUGAUACAGCACGUCUUGAGUCCGAUAGAGGUGGGUGGAAUUCCUAGUGUAGAGGUGAAAUUCGUAGAUAUUAGGAAGAACACCGGUGGCGAAGGCGGCCCACUGGAUCGGUACUGACGCUGAGGUGCGAAAGCGUGGGGAGCAAACAGG
rnacentral:rRNA from 1 species